GACGGAGGAUGCAAGUGUUAUCCGGAAUCACUGGGCGUAAAGCGUCUGUAGGUGGUUCGAAAAGUCCACUGUUAAAAAUUGAAGCUUAACUUCAAAGAUGCCGUGGAAACUUUCAAACUAGAGUGUGGUAGGGGUAGAGGGAAUUUCCAGUGGAGCGGUGAAAUGCGUAGAUAUUGGAAAGACCACCGAUGGCGAAGGCACUCCACUGGGCCAUUACUGACACUGAGAGACGAAAGCUAGGGGAGCAAAUGGG
rnacentral:rRNA from 1 species